rnacentral:rRNA from 1 species
GAUGAACGCUGGCGGCGUGCUUAACACAUGCAAGUCGAACGAUGAUGCCCAGCUUGCUGGGUGGAUUAGUGGCGAACGGGUGAGUAACACGUGAGUAACCUGCCCUUAACUCUGGGAUAAGCCUGGGAAACUGGGUCUAAUACCGGAUAGGAGCGUCCACCGCAUGGUGGGUGUUGGAAAGAUUUAUCGGUUUUGGAUGGACUCGCGGCCUAUCAGCUUGUUGGUGAGGUAAUGGCUCACCAAGGCGACGACGGGUAGCCGGCCUGAGAGGGUGACCGGCCACACUGGGACUGAGACACGGCCCAGACUCCUACGGGAGGCAGCAGUGGGGAAUAUUGCACAAUGGGCGCAAGCCUGAUGCAGCGACGCCGCGUGAGGGAUGACGGCCUUCGGGUUGUAAACCUCUUUCAGUAGGGAAGAAGCGAAAGUGACGGUACCUGCAGAAGAAGCACCGGCUAACUACGUG